rnacentral:misc_RNA from 1 species
GUUUCUUAAAGGUUCAGAGGAAUAUAAGGAAAAUUACUACUAAGCUUCCAAGUUUCUUCUAGUGUUAUUUGAUUACAUUUAUUCCGUGGCUGAACGGUGUAAGCAUGGACCACCAGCCGGAGACCGUGCAGCUGAACCCAGUAAGUCCUGCACCCGGAGUCCCGCAAGCUCCGCCAGCGGUCAGCAAGGGCGAGGUGCGGUGCUGCGGCUGCUUGCCUCUGAGGGCCGGCACCAUCGCCAUCGGCGUCCUCUACCUGGUGUCUUGCUUGAGUUCGGGAGUCUACAUCACCUAUCUCUACAUCAACUAUCAUGGAGACAUGAGACGUAUAGUAAUGCUGGUCACUGUCGCCCUUGUUAUUGUAUCCAUUUCAACCAUCGCUACCAGCUUGCUGUUAUACGGGGCCGUAAAGGCAUCCUGCCACAGCGUAGAGAAGCAAGAGUUCUGCUACGUGCAACCUGCAAUGUCAACAAUUGUUAGGGCGUAAAGCCAUAGGAACACCCAAGCAAUUCCAACAUCAAGAUUUUGGAACGUAAGGCCCUGGCUUCGCAGCGAGCAAGGAACAACAAAGAAGAUCAACGGACAAGAUGGACUCCUCCACAACCGUGCACUUAAACUUCUUUUCGAAAUGUUUCCGCUCGACAUUUCUUCACAAAACCAACCGUCAUGGGUUUUUCCUUCCCUGGAUCAUCUGGGAAUGUAUCAGCUGUGGACUCCUGAUCAUUAUGACUUUAAAUUCCAUCACGGGCCCUUCUGGUCUUCCUGACUUUUCAAUUUUUAAUAUUAGGAUCU